UCCCUAUGGGGUGCAGCAGUCGCGAAAACUUUGCAAUACACGAAAGUGUGACAAGGCUAUCCCGAGUGCCAUCCGCUGAGGAAGGCUUUUACCCAGUAUAAAUAGCUGGGAGAAUAAGGAGAGGGCAAGACUGGUGUCAGCCGCCGCGGUAAUACCAGCUCUCCGAGUAGUGUGGAUGUUUAUUGGGCCUAAAGCAUCCGUAGCUUGCUAUACAAGUCCCCUGUUAAAUCCACCGAUUUAAUCGUUGGACUGCGGGGGAUACUGUUUGGCUAGGGGACGGGAGAGGCCGACGGUAUUUCCGGGGUAGGGGUGAAAUCCUAUAAUCCCGGGAGGACCACCAGUGGCGAAGGCUGUCGGCUAGAACGCGCCCGACGGUGAGGGAUGAAAGCUGGGGGAGCGAACCGGAUUAGAUACCCGGGUAGUCCCAGCCGUAAACGAUGCAGGCUAGGUGUUUGGGCGGCCACGAGCCGCCCUAGUGCCGCAGGGAAGCUGUUAAGCCUGCCGCCUGGGGAGUACGGCCGCAAGGCUGAAACUUAAAGGAAUUGGCGGGGGAGCACCACAAGGGGUGAAGCUUGCGGUUUAAUUGGAUUCAACGCCGGAA
rnacentral:rRNA from 1 species